GACGAACGCUGGCGGCGUGCUUAACACAUGCAAGUCGAACGGAAAGGCCCUGCUUGCAGGGUACUCGAGUGGCGAACGGGUGAGUAACACGUGGGUGAUCUGCCCUGCACUUCGGGAUAAGCCUGGGAAACUGGGUCUAAUACCGGAUAGGAGCCAUUUUUAGUGUGAUGGUUGGAAAGUUUUUUCGGUGUAGGAUGAGCUCGCGGCCUAUCAGCUUGUUGGUGGGGUAAUGGCCUACCAAGGCGGCGACGGGUAGCCGGCCUGUGAGGGUGGACGGCCACAUUGGGACUGAGAGGCGGCCCAGACUCCGACGGGAGGCAGCAGGGGGGAAUAUUGCACAAUGGGCGCAAGCCUGAUGCAGCGACGCCGCGUGGGGGAUGACGGCCUUCGGGUUGUAAACUCCUUUCGCUAGGGACGAAGCUUUUUGUGACGGUACCUAGAUAAGAAGCACCGGCUAACUACGUG
rnacentral:rRNA from 1 species